UUUAAGCGGCUCACCUUUAGCAUCAACAGGCCACAACCAACCAGAACGUGAAAAAGCGUCCUGCGUGUAGCGAACUGCGAUGGGCAUACUGUAACCAUAAGGCCACGUAUUUUGCAAGCUAUUUAACUGGCGGCGAUUGCGUACCCGACGACCAAAAUUAGGGUCAACGCUACCUGUAGGAAGUGUCCGCAUAAAGUGCACCGCAUGGAAAUGAAGACGGCCAUUAGCUGUACCAUACUCAGGCACACAAAAAUACUGAUAGCAGUCGGCGUGUGAAUCAUUAGCCUUGCGACCCUCGGCAGCAAGAACCAUACGACCAAUAUCACGAAAAUAGUCACGCAAAGCAUUGGGAUUAUCAUAAA
rnacentral:rRNA from 1 species